rnacentral:rRNA from 1 species
AUUGAACGCUGGCGGCAGGCCUAACACAUGCAAGUCGAACGGUAACAGGAAGAAGCUUGCUUCUUUGCUGACGAGUGGCGGACGGGUGAGUAAUGUCUGGGAAACUGCCUGAUGGAGGGGGAUAACUACUGGAAACGGUAGCUAAUACCGCAUAACGUCGCAAGACCAAAGAGGGGGACCUUCGGGCCUCUUGCCAUCGGAUGUGCCCAGAUGGGAUUAGCUAGUAGGUGGGGUAACGGCUCACCUAGGCGACGAUCCCUAGCUGGUCUGGAGAGAUGACCAGCCACACUGAAAAUGAGACACGGUCCAGACUCCGACGGGAGACAGAAGUGGGGAAUAUUGCACAAUGGGCGCAAGCCUGAUGCAGCCAUGCCGCGUGUAUGAAGAAGGCCUUCGGGUUGUAAAGUACUUUCAGCGGGGAGGAAGGGAGUAAAGUUAAUACCUUUGCUCAUUGACGUUACCCGCAGAAGAAGCACCGGCUAACUCCGUGCCAGCAGCCGCCGUAA